rnacentral:rRNA from 1 species
CCCUUAGACGUUCUGGGCCGCACGCGCGCUACACUGACCAGUGCGACAAGCAUCCGUCCUUGGCCGACAGGCUCGGGCAAUCUUUGAACGCUGUUCGUGAUUGGGAUAGACCUUUGCAAUUAUGGGUCUUCAACGAGGAAUUCCUAGUAAACGCAAGUCAUCAGCUUGCAUUGAUUACGUCCCUGCCCUUUGUACACACCGCCCGUCGCACCUACCGAUUGAAUGGUCCGGUGAAAUCUCGGGACGGCGGCUUGGUCGCUUGCGUCCGACUGCUGAAACUUGAUUAAACCAUAUCAUUUAGAGGAAGGUGAANUCGUAACA